rnacentral:lncRNA from 1 species
GAAAGGGUCCAAGUCAGGCGCAUCAAUGAAGUGUUCUGGCUGUCAAGGAUCUGGGAUGAAAGUUUCUAUUAGACACCUUGGCCCCUCUAUGAUCCAGCAAAUGCAACAUCCUUGCAAUGAGUGUAAAGGUACAGGUGAGACCAUUAAUGACAAGGAUCGAUGCCCACAGUGUAAGGGUGAGAAGGUUGUACAAGAGAAGAAAGUGUUGGAAGUCAUUGUAGAGAAGGGGAUGCAAAAUGGACAGAGGAUAACAUUCCCUGGAGAAGCUGAUGAAGCGGUGAGUCAAAGUGUCUAAUUCUAUAUUUGUUAUCAAUCUGUUUCUUCAUUGAUAAACAAAGCAUCUUGCAUACUUUUUGGUGUCUAUAAACAUAUUCCUCAUGUGUUGUUAUUGAUUUGUGAGUAUGCUUUGAGCUCCUUGCAGCCUGACACAGUCACAGGCGACAUAGUUUUCGUCCUACAACAGAAAGAGCAUCCUAAGUUCAAGCGUAAGGGUGAUGACUUGUUUGUUGAGCACACCUUAUCCCUGACCGAGGCACUCUGUGGAUUUCAAUUUAUACUGACUCAUUUGGAUGGUAGACAGCUUCUCAUUAAAUCCCAUCCAGGAGAAGUGGUCAAGCCUGGUAAGUUUCAGUGGUAUUUAAGCUUUCUGCAUGACAUGGAAAUUCUCUUCUGAAGUUUAGAUAUGCCAUCUAUUCAUAAAUGUGGUUUUGGUUGCAUUUUUUAUUUAUGAGUUUUCCAUUUUGGAGGACUAUUGCAAUGCUGUCUGCGAUACUGUAAGAGAAUAAAAAUAUUCUCCUGAAAUUUCAGCUCUGGGCUUUGACUUUCUGUUUUCUUGGUUGUGACCCUUGUCUAUGUUUCCAUACAGACCAAUUCAAGGCUAUAAAUGAUGAAGGAAUGCCCAUUUACCAGAAGCCAUUCAUGAAGGGGAAAUUGUACAUUCACUUUGCAGUGGAUUUCCCUGACUCCCUGAACACGGAUCAGUGCAAAGCUCUUGAAGCAGUGCUGCCUCCGAGGACUUCAACACAGUUGACUGAUAUGGAGAUUGAUGAGUGUGAGGAGACUACCUUGCAUGAUGUCAACAUUGAGGAGGAGAUGCGGAGGAAGCAGGCCGCCCAGGAGGCAUAUGAAGAGGAUGAGGAUAUUCAUGGUGGUGCUCAGAGGGUGCAGUGUGCCCAGCAAUAAAUGGUGAACAAAGCUGGCGGUUGAAGGGGGAGGGGGGAUGUCUAAGGGUGCAAUGGGCUUCACUAUUAAUGCUGGGUAAACCUGAAUUGGGGAAGAGAAUUUUGUUGACUAGCAACAAGACAAUAGACAAUGGCUUUCAAUUGUAGGUGUUGAAGUCUGGAUUUGGAUGCAUUUGUUUUGUGUGAGCGCGAAUACACUAUUUUUAAGCCUUUUAAAGCAAUUUGAGAAACCUAUUAUUAUGUUGAUUUUGUUGUUUAUUCGUUUAGGUUUUUUACACAUCCAAAUCUCACUAGUCUAAUAUGGUUGUUUUGGCCAUUGAAUGCAUAGCCAUGUCCAUGAGCGUGUGAGAAGCCACGUGUAAAUAAUUCGAAACAUGUGUGCGUUCUAUGUUGUGUUCAAGUUUCUUAUUUAUCAUUGGGUUAUUUAAUUAAUUAAUUAAAAGGGUUAUUGAAAAUUUAAUUAUGAAAUUUAUAUUUUUUUA